GUUUCUGUAGUGUAGUGGUCAUCACGUUCAUCUAACAUAUGAAAGGUCCCUGGUUCAGAACCGGGCAGAAACA